rnacentral:rRNA from 1 species
GCAUAUCAAUAAGCGGAGGAAAAGAAACCAACCGGGAUUGCCUCAGUAACGGCGAGUGAAGCGGCAAGAGCUCAAAUUUGAAAUCUGGCCCCUCUGGGGUCCGAGUUGUAAUUUGCAGAGGAUGCUUCGGGUGCGGUCCCCGUCUAAGUGCCCUGGAACGGGCCGUCAUAGAGGGUGAGAAUCCCGUCUGGGAUGGGCGGCCGCGCCCGUGUGAAGCUCCUUCGACGAGUCGAGUUGUUUGGGAAUGCAGCUCUAAGCGGGUGGUAAAUUUCAUCUAAAGCUAAAUACUGGCCGGAGACCGAUAGCGCACAAGUAGAGUGAUCGAAAGAUGAAAAGCACUUUGAAAAGAGAGUUAAAUAGCACGUGAAAUUGUUGAAAGGGAAGCGUUGUCCACCAGACUCGCCCGGGGGGGCUCAGCCGGCACGUGUGCCGGUGUACUCCUCUCCGGGCGGGCCAGCAUCGGUUUGGGCGGCUGGUGAAAGGCCCCGGGAAUGUACCACCCUCCGGGGUGCCUUAUAGCCCGGGGUGCCAUGCAGCCAGCCUGGACCGAGGCCCGCGCUUCGGCGAGGAUGCUGGCGUAAUGGUGGUCAACGGCCCGUCUUGAAACACGGACCAAGGAGUCUAACAUCUAUGCGAGUGUUCGGGUGUCAAACCCGUCCGCGCAGUGAAAGCGAACGGAGGUGGGAGCCUUUCGGGGCGCACCAUCGACCGAUCCUGAUGUCUUCGGAUGGAUUUGAGUAAGAGCAUAGCUGUUGGGACCCGAAAGAUGGUGAACUAUGCCUGAAUAGGGCGAAGCCAGAGGAAACUCUGGUGGAGGCUCGCAGCGGUUCUGACGUGCAAAUCGAUCGUCAAAUUUGGGUAUAGGGGCGAAAGACUAA